ACAUCAUCUGGCUGCGUUCGGCUACGUCACGCGGGGGCGUUCCCAUGCCUCACUACCCCAUCUGAAUAGCAGUGAGACCGCUGGAGUUGGAAAAUGUGUACAGCCAAUCAUGAAUCGCGGGUGGGAUUUUGAAUGGAUGGGCGGAGUUAUGGGCGGAUGUGAUGUAAAGCAUUAGCGACAGCAGUGUAGUCUUCACUUCACAACAAACAUGGCAGCGCGCUGUAGUACUAGUACUCAGUGCGCUGAAAUGGAUUCGGCUAUUUCCACGGUAUUGUCUUGUAUUCCAAAUGUUCAGGCAUUGAAAUACGAACAAAUGACGGCGCUUAAGGCGUUUGUUGGCGGCGAGGAUGUGUUUGCGUUUCUUCCGACCGGAUUUGGCAAAAGUUUGAGCUGGCUCCACUGGUCGCUAAAGCCGCUGUGAGAUGGACACUCCCAGACGUGUAGCCCCAAAUGGUUCUAUCACUCCCAGACGUUCUAUCCCACCCGAUUAUAUUUCACGUGCUAAAGCAAUGGGGAAAGUGCAGGAUCCAAUCUUUAUUGUGGUGUUCCCCCUGGCUGCGUUAAUGGAGGACCAAGUCAGAGAGGCUGGAAAUCUAACGGGUCUAACGGCAAUGGAACUGGGAGGAAGACAUACUUCAGGGACGUUGCCAGGCCAGCCGGUCUUCGGUAGCCCCGAGUCGUGGCUGAAGGACAAAUGACUGACCAUGCUAUCCUCAGACCUCUACCAGAAGAAUCUACUGGGCAUCGUUGUCGAUGAGGUUCACGUCACCUACAAAUGGAAUGAAAGGCCUUCCUGCUCAGUUGGGAGAACGUCACAGCAAAGAAGACAUGCCUGUCAUGGCUUAAAUGGCAUCUGCAGUCACAGAAGAUGGGACACAGAGAGCUGCUACAUAUGGAGAGAGUGCCAUUCAACAGUGAGCCCACCCAACAGGACAGUUUGCACUAGGUUGGAUCACAGCUUAUUGAAGAAACAUGAGAAGAGCAUUAGUCCCUAUAUCUUUGAUCUAACAUAAUAGUACAUAACCAACAACCUUCCUGUUUUCAAAGUGUUGCAUGUGCAGGGAAUCCCAGGUUAUGUUGAUUAAAAGGAUGAGUAUUUUGACAGUGAAACACCACAGCGUAGUAGCUGGCAGUGCUUUGCCGCAACCUCGUACAUGCUGUUGUACAAAUGUGUAUGAAUGACUGUUUUUGCAUAGAAGAACUGUAAAUAAAAUUACACAU